GCAAAAAUUUGCUGUAUUGUAGUUGAUUACUCUGUAAUCUGUGUAAGGUAGCCUCCAUCUGUGGGUAGAAUGAUGUAAAAAAAAAAAUUUAACAAAAUAGACGUUUUGAAAAUUUGUUGAAGCGAACGUUACUGGAUAUUGAUCUCAGGGAGAAGUCGAGAAGAUAUGGUCGCCCCAAAUAUAGUUUCUCUCGUAGAAAAGACAUCAAGAAGGUAUAAAACUCACAUUAACAUUCAAAUGUUGCUUUGUCAGUCGAUGGCUGAAGUUGAGAGAGAUACUUAAGCAGACCAGUUUCCUUGGAAAAUUAAAAGGGAAUUAAUUCAGAUGAAAUUUGUUUAAUAUAAUUCUCGAAGCCAGCAAACACAUAAAAAUAUCAGGGAAACUUUUAAAAACUCACCAAUUGGAGAAAACCAUCCAAGUUCACUUGGUUGGACAUCAAUAUUAAUCCAAUGCCUUCUGGUAAAUCAAUCAGAUAGAAGAUGAUAGAAUAUCUGGAAAGAAUUGAUGAUUUUGAGUUGUAAUCAUUUGUAGAAUUAUAACAGGCGAAAUAACCCACCUUUUGAGGAGAGUUGAACUAAAGGAAAACAGAAAUCUAGUCCUUCUGCCUUCAUGAUGAUUCAUCACAUCUGGAAAGAAAUGCCGUUAUAAUAUCAUAUUAUCGAAUAAAAUUAAAAAACGAUAACUCACCAAUUACUUUCAUAGGAAGAUCAGAAAAAUCCAGAAAUGGUGCCAAUUCAAUAACAUCAAAGAGGCCCUUUUGAGAUUGAACAAUUUGGUGGACGAAAGCGAUCCGGAUGUGGAUAUGCCGAAUAUCGUCCAUGCUUUUCAAACUGCAGGAAGGAUAAGGAUUACCCGCAUCUUGAAUGGUUCCAUUUGACUAGGUUGGAAAGAAAAAUCCAGAAAUGGUGCCAAUUCAAUAACUUCAAAGCGACAAUCAAAGAGGCCCUUUUGAGAUUGAACAAUUUGGUGGACGAAAGCGAUCCGGAUGUGGAUAUGCCGAAUAUCGUCCAUGCUUUUCAAACUGCGGGAAGGAUAAGGAAGGAUUACCCGCAUCUUGAAUGGUUCCAUUUGACUAGGUUGGAAAGAAUAUAUAACCCGAUAAUUAUCUACCAGAAAAGUGCUCGAGACAUAAUUUAUCAAUAAUGGGUAUAAAGUGGAAGAAAAUAACCAGAUAUAAAAAGUAUAUAGAUGGUCGAAUUAGAACUUACCUUGUAGGAAA